rnacentral:rRNA from 1 species
GACGAACGCUGGCGGCGUGCUUUACACAUGCAAGUGGUGCGACGAACCAGGCUUCGGCCUGGGGCAGAGCCGCGAACGGGUGAGUAACACGUGGGCAACCUGCCCUGUUGAUCGGGACAACCCGGGGAAACCCGGGCUAAUACCGCAUGUGGUGCCGGCUCAUGAGAGCCGUCACGAAGGGAAGCUUCGGCCUCCGCGACAGGAUGGGCCCGCGGCCCAUUAGCUUGUUGGUGGGGUAAUGGCCUACCAAGGCAACGAUGGGUAGCUGGUCGGAGAGGACGAUCAGCCACACUGGGACUGAGACACGGCCCAGACUCCUACGGGAGGCUGCAGUGGGGAAUCUUGCGCAAUGAGCGACAGCUUGACGCAGCAACGCCGCGUGGGGGAAGAAGGCUUUCGGGUCGUAAACCCCUUUCAGUUAGGACGAAGCUUUAUUGGUUAAUAACCAAUAGGAGUGACGGUACUUUCAGAAGAAGCCCCGGCUAACUACGUGCCAGCCGCCGCAGUAA